rnacentral:rRNA from 1 species
GACGAACGCUGGCGGCGUGCUAACCCCUGCAAGUCGAACGGAAAGGCCCUGCUUUUGUGGGGUGCUCGAGUGGCGAACGGGUGAGUAACACGUGAGUAACCUGCCCUUGACUUUGGGAUAACUUCAGGAAACUGGGGCUAAUACCGGAUAGGAGCUCCUGCCGCAUGGUGGGGGUUGGAAAGUUUCGGCGGUUGGGGAUGGACUCGCGGCUUAUCAGCUUGUUGGUGGGGUAGUGGCUUACCAAGGCUUUGACGGGUAGCCGGCCUGAGAGGGUGACCGGCCACAUUGGGACUGAGAUACGGCCCAGACUCCUACGGGAGGCAGCAGUGGGGAAUAUUGCACAAUGGGCGGAAGCCUGAUGCAGCAACGCCGCGUGCGGGAUGACGGCCUUCGGGUUGUAAACCGCUUUCGCCUGUGACGAAGCGUGAGUGACGGUAAUGGGUAAAGAAGCACCGGCUAACUACGUG